rnacentral:tRNA from 1 species
GCCGGCGUGGCGCAAUGGUAGCGCGUAGCUUUCCUAUAAACCCAGUUCCUUAGCAUUCUUAGGAGGCUGAAGUUGCGGGUUCGAUCCCCGUCGUCGGUU